GGGUUGUGAGGUUAAGCGACUAAGCGUACACGGUGGAUGCCCUGGCAGUCAGAGGCGAUGAAGGACGUGCUAAUCUGCGAUAAGCGUCGGUAAGGUGAUAUGAACCGUUAUAACCGGCGAUUUCCGAAUGGGGAAACCCAGUGUGUUUCGACACACUAUCAUUAACUGAAUCCAUAGGUUAAUGAGGCGAACCGGGGGAA
rnacentral:rRNA from 1 species